UUGAGUUCAUGUGAUCUUAUGAUGAAUGC
rnacentral:piRNA from 2 species